GACUGGUUUCCUUGGGAACGAACCAGCAUAAAAGCAGCAGUUAACGUCUUGUACUUUGUGGAGUUUGUGAAAUCGGUGAACAUUCCUCAUGGCAGGCGAGAACCAAAAAAGCAGCCUCAAGGACCUCUUAGACAGAAUGGAAAAGGCCCACAAAGCUGACAUUCAGCUUUACACCUCUGGCCACCUGAACCAUGACAAGCUUUAUAAGCCCCAGCAAUGGAUCAAGAACAACUUUUGGGAAAGUGCCAAAAAAUCUGCACUAAUCCUCACAAAAAGAACCAAUUUCACAACACCCAGUGCGGUAUCCAGAAAGACACAAGCUACCUUGAGCAGCUGUGUGGACUCAACACCCACACCCACCCGUGCCAAAUCUGCUUCUCAGUCAUGUUUUCAACCUCGGGCAAUCAAGGCCAGCUACAGAUCUCCAGUGAGCACUUCCCUCAAUUCCACAUCUUUCAAACAGCAGAGAAAGAAGGAUGCUAAGGAGGCAAAGGAGGAACUGGGCAUUUUUCAAGAGCAACUUAUCAGGGAAGAGCUGGAGGUUCCAGAGAUGAGAACGUUGAAAUACAAACCGACAAUUAACAGUCGGCUUUGUGCCAUGGAGGAGACGAAAGAUGAAUACCAAUUCUUUCCUUCUUACUUGGCUGGUGUGACCAGAACGGACCAGUUUCGCAAGUUCAUGCAGUUUCAGAAGGAUGUGAUCGCAAAGCAAGAUUUGCUGAAGAACGACUUUAUUGGGAGCGAUUCAGCAGAGCACCAUGAAAGGACGUUGGCUCAGGCGCUUCGGAAUAUCUGCGACUGCAGCCGGCCUCAUUUCAACCGGUUGCAGGCUGUUGGUGACGUUUUUGAAGAUAUCUGCAACAGUUCUUUGAUAUUUGGUGACAUACUGAAGGAAGUGAAAACUGAAUAUGAACUCUACAUGCUGAUCCUGCUGGAAUCUCUCCCUACAAUGCAGUACAGAACCUUGCAGAAUGAAGUCAAAGGCAUGGAGAAGAGGGCAGCGAUGACUCAUGAAAUAGAAGAGAAUAGGCAGGAGGUACAGGAUCUUGUGCAGAAAUCCAGACUGGCUUUAGCAAGAAAUGAAGAAUUAAGAAAUGAAUUGGAAAUGGAGCUGUGGAUGAGCCAGUCUUAUGAAAAAAUGACAGAAAAGGAACGGAAGGAGGCGUCCAAAGCACAGACUCCUGUCCUUUCCAACGCUGAGCUACUUGCAUCCUUGCGGUGUCAAGUUAUCACGACAUGGGAGGAAAUCCAAGCAAUGCAAAAAGAAAUUAAAGAAACGAUGGCGGUUGCUGGCAUCGCCAACAUCCGAGAAAAGACCGUUAAAGAAUUAGAGGGUGAAGCAUCAAAGCUCCAGGCAUCUAACAAGUUUCUUAAAAAACAAAUAGGAGAUGCUGAACAGACAAUCACAAGUGCAUUACAGAGGCAGAAGCUUAGUGAGAAAAGCCAGCGGUUCUUCCAGAUGCUGCCUUCAUCUCUGGAGUGACAGAGCACUUCUCAAGUAGACGAGGAGGCAGCUCAGCCAAUGAUGAUUACCAGGCUGUGUGGGAACCAGAGGAAGAGCCUUGGAGGAGGACCUCAGGGUCUGGACUGAGCGAUGGGGGUGGAGAUGCUCCUUCAGAUAUACUGGGCUGAGGCUAAGGUAGGUGGUCAUAUCUUUCUUUAGAAAUCACUUGUAGCUGAGUAAGAUUGUCUUCCAUGAACACAGUCUUAACAGUGAGUCCGUAAAUGACUGUGGAGGCCAAUUCUGGAUCCACACGUCCUUCCACUGCAGGGACAUAGGUUUCUGGAUGGGAGUUGAUCACAGUGAGGAUUUGCGAAACGUGCCUUCUUCUUAGCACGUUUCUCCCUUUCGUCUUGGGUUUGUGCUUCUUCAAAGGCUAUUCUCCAGUUG